rnacentral:lncRNA from 1 species
UCAGAUUCCUCUACAGUUUAUUGUUAUAGCAGAAGUUGUGGGAGACGGGAGGGCACCCUCCACACAUACUACAGUGUGGUCAGAGCCCCAGGGUAGCCCUUUCCACCCUAUGCCAAGCCCCAAGCAGCCCAGCCCAAGCUUAGCUCCCUCCCCAGUCCCACUCUAGAUGCACACUGAGCUACCAAAGUUAGUGCAGCCAAACGGCCCCAGGAGCUGGGGGGAAUCACGGGUUAAAGGUCAAGGUUAGGGUAGCAAUCAAAGAUCAAGGUCAUCUCCCCGCAUGAUCUGCCCUUUUUCCCUUGCUUACGGUGGCCCAAUGCCCCUUCAGCACCUCCCAGGUUAGCUCUGGGGGAGGUGAGGGCUGGGUCCCACUCUAGGGCAACAAGGGCCAUUCAACAGGAGACCUCCAUGGUGUGCCCCGGGGGCCCCGAAGAAAGAGUUCCAGACUCGCUGCUCUGGGACAGGGUGCGAGAGCGGGACCGGUUGCCAUCAACGGAUGCUGCACUGGUCAGAGAGGCUGUACGAGACCGGGACAGGCGAGUCAUGCA